rnacentral:rRNA from 1 species
GCGGCGGAGCGUCGGCUCAGCACCGGCGGAGACGCCGUGUCGCGGGCUCGCUCCGCCCCCUCAUCCACAACCCACACACAUGUGCACCAUAGGGACGGCGGGUGGAUAACGCACGCCGUCUCGCUUUACAAGCUCUGAAGUUUACUUUGAAUGUCAUUUGAUUCGGGCUAGCCCCGAUGUAAUUAAACAUAAACAACUUUCAACAACGGAUCUCUUGGCUCUCGCAUCGAUGAAGAACGCAGCGAAAUGCGAUAAGUAAUGUGAAUUGCAGAAUUCAGUGAAUCAUCGAAUCUUUGAACGCACCUUGCGCCCAUUGGUAUUCCGAUGGGCAUGCCUGUUUGAGUGUCUUGAAAUCAUCAAGCCCGUUCGGUUUCACCGCCGAGCGGGAUUGGACUUGGGGGCUUGCCGCUUCGCCGCGGCUCCCCUUAAAUGAAUCGGUUUCGGGUCUCUGUGGGAGUAACCCCUUGGGCGUUGUAUAACCCUCGCCGUCUGGGAACUCCUCGCGACGUCCGCGUCGUCGAAGGGCCUUGAAGGAACCUCGACCUGCUGUAAGCGGCGGUCAACGUUAAUUUGAAAUCUGACCUCAAAUCAGGUAGGACUACCCGCUGAACUUAAGCAUAUCAAUAA